CCGGGCGUAGCUCAGUGGAUAGAGCACCAGUCUUCGGAACUGGGUGUCGGGGGUUCGAAUCCCUCCGCCCGGGCCA
rnacentral:tRNA from 1 species